rnacentral:rRNA from 1 species
GCCUGGUGAUAGCUGGUUCUCCCCGAAAGCUAUUUAGGUAGCGCCUCGGACGAAUACCAUAGGGGGUAGAGCACUGUUUCGGCUAGGGGGUCAUCCCGACUUACCAAACCGAUGCAAACUCCGAAUACCUAUGAGUACUAUCCGGGAGACAGACUGCGGGUGCUAACGUCCGUAGUCAAGAGGAAAACAAUCCAGACCGCCAGCUAAGGCCCCAAAAUCAUAGUUAAGUGGGAAACGAUGUGGGAAGGCAUAGACAGCUAGGAGGUUGGCUUAGAAGCAGCCACCCUUUAAAGAAAGCGUAAUAGCUCACUAGUCGAGUCGGCCUGCGCGG